rnacentral:misc_RNA from 1 species
UUUUGGUGCGGCCAACCGACAUGGGGCUGUCUCUUCACUCUCCCUCCUGUCAUUUAAUUUGUCGGGGCUGGGAUGCUUGUGAUCGGUUGNNUGUGGAGCACUACCCUGUUGUGGGUAGCGAACUUGUCCCUCGAUUGAUAUGUGCUUGCCUUUCUGACAUUUUAUGUCGUUUGGGCAGCCGAAAUGAUGGCGAGAUCCUUGUGUAGGUGCGUGGUCGAAUGGCCUUGUUGCUAUCGCUUGGAUCUUUGCCGUCUCUCACGGAUGCAGUGCUUAGUGCUAGCUCUGUGUGACUUUACUCCGCAGACUUCGGGAGGUCCCUUGUACGAAUCGUUGUGAUCAGAUGCCGUUUGUCGUGUUGCUUGUUUGGCACGCAAAUCGUAUUGUUCUGUCCGGAGUCGGGAUGAUGAGAGUCAGAAUGGAGUCUCNGUGGCGUGAUNGCCNCUUAGNGAUGCCNCNCCGAUNGGUGGCGNCNCNNNNNNCNCNNNNUGCGGAGGCCCGCCUGUGUGGGUUGGUGCCGNAGNAGACGCGUCGGCGCUC